UACAGAGGGGGCAAGCGUUAUUCGGAAUUAUUGGGCGUAAAGGGCGCGUAGGCGGCUUUUCAAGUGACGGGUGAAAGCCCUCGGCUUAACCGAGGAACUGCCUGUCAGACUGGAAGGCUUGAGUCCGGUAGGGGAGCGUGGAAUUCCUGGUGUAGCGGUGAAAUGCGCAGAUAUCAGGAGGAACACCGGUGGCGAAGGCGGUUCUCUGGGCAUUACCUGACGCUGAGGAGCGAAAGUGUGGGGAGCGAACAGG
rnacentral:rRNA from 1 species